rnacentral:piRNA from 1 species
UUCUCUGCUAAACUGAGAGCUCUUUGGA